rnacentral:rRNA from 1 species
AGAGUUUGAUCAUGGCUCAGGAUGAACGCUAGCUACAGGCUUAACACAUGCAAGUCGAGGGGAAACGACAUCGAAAGCUUGCUUUUGAUGGGCGUCGACCGGCGCACGGGUGAGUAACGCGUAUCCAACCUGCCCACCACUUGGGGAUAACCUUGCGAAAGUAAGACUAAUACCCAAUGACGUCUCUAGAAGACAUCUGAAAGAGAUUAAAGAUUUAUCGGUGAUGGAUGGGGAUGCGUCUGAUUAGCUUGUUGGCGGGGUAACGGCCGCAAGGCUACGAUCAGUAGGGGUUCUGGAGAGGAACGGUCCCCCANAUUGGAACUGAGACACGGUCCAAACUCCUACGGGAGCA